GCCGAAGUGGCGGAAUGGUAGACGCGCAGCGUUCAGGACGCUGUGUCCUUAGGGGCGUGAGGGUUCAAAUCCCUCCUUCGGCA
rnacentral:tRNA from 1 species